rnacentral:rRNA from 1 species
UACGUAGGGGGCAAGCGUUGUCCGGAAUCAUUGGGCGUAAAGAGCGUGUAGGCGGCUCGAUAAGUCUGCUGUGAAAGUCCAGGGCUCAACCCUGGAAGGCCGGUGGAAACUGUCGGGCUAGAAUCCGGAAGAGGCGAGUGGAAUUCCCGGUGUAGCGGUGAAAUGCGCAGAUAUCGGGAGGAACACCAAUGGCGAAGGCAGCUCGCUGGGACGGUAUUGACGCCGAGACGCGAAAGCGUGGGGAGCAAACAGG